rnacentral:rRNA from 1 species
GAUGAACGCUGGCGGCGUGCUUAACACAUGCAAGUCGAACGAAGCACUUUAUUUGAUUUCCUUCGGGACUGAUUAUUUUGUGACUGAGUGGCGGACGGGUGAGUAACUCGUGUGUAACCUGCCUUGUACAGGGGGAUAACAGUUGGAAACGGCUGCUAAUACCGCAUAAGCGCACAGCAUCGCUUGAUGCAGUGUGAAAAACUUCGGUGGUAUAAGAUGGACCCGCGUUGGAUUAGCUAGUUGGUGAGGUAACGGCCCACCAAGGCGACGAUCCAUAGACGACAUGAGAGGGUGACCGGACACAUUGGGACUGAGACACGGCCCAAACUACUACGGGAGGCAGCAGUGGGGAAUAUUGCACAAUGGGCGAAAGCCUGAUGCAGCGACGCCGCGUGAGCGAAGAAGUAUUUCGGUAUGUAAAGCUCUAUCAGAAGGGAAGAUAAUGACGGUACCUGACGAAGAAGCACCGGCUAAAUACGUG